AUUGAACGCUGGCGGCAUGCUUUACACAUGCAAGUCGAACGGUAACAGGCCGCAAGGUGCUGACGAGUGGCGCACGGGUGAGUAAUGCAUCGGAACGUGCCCAGUCGUGGGGGAUAACUACUCGAAAGAGUAGCUAAUACCGCAUACGAUCUAUGGAUGAAAGCGGGGGACCGUAAGGCCUCGCGCGAUUGGAGCGGCCGAUGUCAGAUUAGGUAGUUGGUGGGGUAAAGGCUCACCAAGCCAACGAUCUGUAGCUGGUCUGAGAGGACGACCAGCCACACUGGGACUGAGACACGGCCCAGACUCCGACGGGAGGCAGAAGUGGGGAAUUUUGGACAAUGGGCGCAAGCCUGAUCCAGCAAUGCCGCGUGCAGGAAGAAGGCCUUCGGGUUGUAAACUGCUUUUGUACGGAACGAAACGGCUCUGGUUAAUACCCGGGGCUAAUGACGGUACCGUAAGAAUAAGCACCGGCUAACUACGUG
rnacentral:rRNA from 1 species